AUAGGCCCUACGCCCCGUAUCCGCCCGGGUACUACGAGCACCAGCUUGAAACCCAAAGGACUUGGCGGUGCUUCAUAUCCGUCUAGAGGAGCCUGUUCUAGAACCGAUAACCCCCGUUAAACCUCACCCUCCCUUGUUUGUACCGCCUAUAUACCGCCGUCGUCAGCCUACCCUGUGAAGGCCCAGAAGUGAGCAAGAUUGGUAAGACCCAAAACGUCAGGUCGAGGUGUAGUGAAUGAGAGGGGAAGAAAUGGGCUACAUUUCCUAAGUUAGGAAAUACGAAUAAUGAACUGAAAUAAGCAUUAGAAGGUGGAUUUAGCAGUAAGCAGAAAAACAGAGUGUUUCGCUGAAGUUAUGGCAAUAAAGCACGCACACA
rnacentral:rRNA from 1 species